rnacentral:rRNA from 1 species
CUACGGGGGGCAGCAGUGGGGAAUAUUGGACAAUGGGCGAAAGCCUGAUCCAGCAAUACCGCGUGAAUGAUGAAGGCCUUAGGGUUGUAAAGUUCUUUUAGUUGGAAAGAUAAUGACGGUACCAACAGAAAAAGCCCCGGCUAACUCCGUGCCAGCAGCUGCGGUAAGACGGAGGGGGCUAGCGUUGUUCAGAAUUACUGGGCGUAAAGGGCGCGUAGGCGGAUUAGUAAGUUGGGAGUGAAAGCCCGGGGCUUAGCCUCGGAACUGCUUUCAAAACUGCUAGUCUUGAGUGAAGUAGGGGAUGAUGGAAUUCCUAGUGUAGAGGUGAAAUUCUUAGAUAUUAGGAGGAACACCGGUGGCGAAGGCGGUCAUCUGGACUUCAACUGACGCUGAGGCGCGAAAGCGUGGGGAGCAAACAGGAUUAGAUACCCCAGUAGUC